UUAGAGUCAUCCACACAAAAUUACGAAAUGGAACUCUGAAUUUUGUACCAUCUAACACUAAAAUUAUCAAGAAUUAUGAUACACAACUCAUUAAAUGGCAAAAAUAAGUGCUUAAAAGGUCACAACAACGGAAGUAGUAGCUUUGGAUGGUUCGCAACUAGUUUGUCUGACAUUAGUUUCUUCACUUAAAGACUUAUAUUAUCAUUAUGUUUUCCAAUAUUGCAUAGUCAAUAAAUAUUACUUUUUUUA
rnacentral:lncRNA from 1 species